rnacentral:tRNA from 1 species
UGAUGCAUAGCUCAGCCUGGUCAGAGCAACUCGCUCAUAACGAGGAGGUCAAUGGUUCAAAUCCAUUUGUGUCAA